GCCUAAAAAGCUAGCCCCACCCCCAAGAAAACAACCCCUUCUAAAUUAGAACGCCACAAAACAAAUAACAAAACAUUUUACCUCCCCAGUAUGGGCGAUAGAAAAGGAAAUCCGGAGCUAUAGAGAAAGUACCGCAAGGGAAAGCUGAAAGAGAAAUGAAAUAACUACCCCAAGCCUUAAAAAGCAGAGAUAACCCCUCGUACCUUUUGCAUCAUGAUUUAGCGAGAAUCCCUGAGCAAAGAGAACUUUAGUUCAAUCCCCCGAAACUAGACGAGCUACUUCAAGACAGCCUAAGGAUUAAACCUGAAGGGCACACCCGUCUCUGUCGCAAAAGAGUGGGAGGAGCUUCAAGUAGAGGUGACAAACCUAUCGAGCCUAGUUAUAGCUGGUUAUCUAAAAAGUGAAUUUAAGUUCAGCCUCCUGACUCCCCUACAUCAACGGCACCUAUGCCCCCACAGAUUAACGGCGACCAAGAGAGUUAGUCAAAGAGGGUACAGCCCCUUUGAAAAAGGACACAACCUCAACAGGAGAUAAAAGAUCAUAUACCCCUAAGGAAUAAUUAUUUUAGUAGGCCUAAAAGCAGCCACCUAAAAAGAAAGCGUUACAGCUCCUAUUAACUAAACCCAUCAAUACCGAAAUAAACUCUUCAAUCCCUCACCACUAUUAGAUCCUCCCACUAAACCCUGGGAAAGACCCUGCUAAAAUGAGUAAUAAGAGGGAACGCCCCUCUCCACCACACGUGUUUAAGUCGGAACGGACCCGCCACCGACAAUUAACGAUCCUUUAACGAAGGAAAUGUAACACCGCACUAAUAACUAAGAAAAGCUAACUACAUAUACUCGUCAACCCUACACAGGUGUGUGCCCCCGGAAAGACUUAAUUAAAGGGAAGGAACUCGGCAAACACAAGCCCCGCCUGUUUACCAAAAACAUCACCUCUUGCAAAACGAACGAAUAAGAGGCCCCGCCUGCCCAGUGACUAUACGUUAAACGGCCGCGGUAUUUUGACCGUGCAAAGGUAGCGCAAUAAAUUGUCCCUUAAUUGGGGACUAGUAUGAAUGGCAUCACGAAGGCUUAGCUGUCUCCCCUUUAAAGUCAAUGAAAUUGAUCUCCCCGUGCAGAAGCGGGGAUACGCUCGUAAGACGAGAAGACCCUAUGGAGCUUAAGAUACAAAGCAACCCAUGUUAUAUACCCAUAAAAUGGAAACAACAAAAUGAACCUUGCUGGAAUAUCUUCGGUUGGGGCGACCACGGGGAAAGACAAAACCCCCAAAUGGACCGGGGCUACUCAGCCCUAAAACAUAGACCCACAGGUCAAAUCACCAGUAUUUCUGACCACUAAAGACCCGGCAUAAGCCGAUCAAUGGACCAAGUUACCCUAGGGAUAACAGCGCAAUCCCCUCCAAGAGCCCUCAUCGACGAGGGGGUUUACGACCUCGAUGUUGGAUCAGGACAUCCUAAUGGUGCAGCCGCUAUUAAGGGUUCGUUUGUUCAACGAUUAAUAGUCCUACGCGAUCUGAGUUCAGACCGGAGUAAUCCAGGUCAGUUUCUAUCUACGCAUUGAUCUUUUCUAGUACGAAAGGACCGAAAAGAAUGAAGCCCCUACCAACGGUACGCUUCACUCCCCUAUUAUUGAACCCAACUAAAAUAAGAAGGAAGAAAACCUCCCCUGCCUAAAAAUAAGGCUA
rnacentral:rRNA from 1 species